UCCAUGAGCCGUGGAACAGGAGUUAGGUAGUAGCAAACCCUUACCACGGUGGUUCUAGAAACCAGACGCCGCCGCGGGCAACUAUCCCCCACCCCCACUGCUGUGGAAGGCUGCGCUGGCUCCGGCUAACCGGCGAUGGAAGAUCCUGCUGGACUCUGUCGACAUGUUCCCACUACGAUGCGGACAGCUUGGACCACCCGGAUCUGGUUCCUCUGGCGGAUCUCCAGCGGAUUGCCGACACAAGCGCUGACCCGGUUCCUGUUCCUGGUGCGGCGAGCGUGUUGGCGGCGCAAGACAGGGCAGGUAGGAAGCCGACGGCCGCCGCCGGUGGGAGGCUUCUCCGAGGCAGGGCAGGUAGGAAGGUGAAUCCACAGGCGCCUGGAUGGACAAACAGAUAUUAUGGGAUGGAGGGAGUACUUACUACCAAAAGAUGGAGAAUGGCGUUUGGGGAUAUGUAUGAAUCUUGUGUGUACCCCGCUUUCUCAGCUCGCUGAUGGAGACCAUCUUAGCUAAAUUUUUUUGUGAGACUACCUUGAAAAUUUCUUGACAAGCAUGUUUAAUUCUAGCUAGCCUAGUUUUUACCUACAAUUCACAAGAUACAGGACAAUUUGUGAGGUUGCAUUUACCAGCAACGAAGCUCACAUUGUAUACUUUUAUGUAUAUUUGUCAUCAUGUAUAUCACAAAUGAUAUAGGCAGACAUAUUUUAAUAUUUCAGAAGAGUGUGUCGAAAGAUCAAGUGGUGUUGACAAGCAAAUGGAAAUGUGCGAAGCCAUGCAUGGACCAGAAACAACAGGUGUAAUGCUAUUGAAGAGCAAGAGAAGUUGGAGAAGCAGGAGAAGAAACGAAGGCAGAAGGAGAUUAAUUGUCCAAAUUAGCACUGAAGCUGCAGCGGGACAAAUUAGCCCCAGUUCUCUCUUGUGGGUUUAAUUAUGAAUGGUACUGUUUACACUGGCAUGCUUAGUUAUGAAUGCUAUGUGAGCUAGACAUAUCACAAUUAAAGAUUUUCCUCUUAUUUUGCCAAGCUAACAACAUGGAUCCUGUGUGGUGUUGCACCAUCUUUUGUGUCCAGGUUGUAUGUUCUAGUUGGUAGAUUAUAAACUUUGUUGGAUUUUGCCUUAAGUAUUUGAAUCAUGGUACAACCAGUCAGCUAGUUGUCUUUUUAGUUCUCCA